CACCGAUGGUGGAAACCGGGGUGAGCCGUGUUUAGUUAGGGGAAUGGCACCCUUUGUAGGCGUGGGUAGCCAUUCCUGUUUGGGGCAGAAGCCCGACAGUUGAAGUUAACGGUUCUCAUCUUUACCUUGGGCAACAUUUCCCUUCCCGGUCGUUUUCAUUUCCGAAGUCGGAGAAGGAAAGCCCCAGAAUCCAUCAGGUUGCUGAGGUUUAACGCCUUCGUCGCCGAAUUGGCUAAAGGACGUUUCCGUUUAUGACGUAAACUCAAAGUUGGGAAGGGGUAUUUUGCAGAAGAAACUAUAUUUUAACAGCCAUCCUGCGUCUCAAAGUGGUGAGAAUGGGGGCUUGUGAAAGGAACGAAAGGGUAGCGUCUAUCAUCGGGAAGUUUCUUGUCUGGUAGAGGAGACAUUGUCCUUGCCCUUAGCGAACAGCAAGUAAGUUAAUCCGAUCACUCGCGAAAGGAGACAGAACCAUUCUCCAGAAGCUGUAGCUCCAAAGAAUUACCAAUUUAGUUCUGUGGUAUGGGUUUGAGAGCCUUGGGUGGCCCGCAGGGUGAGAGUGUGCGCCAUAGCAGAGCCGGAGAAGCAUUGAACCCGUUAGCCCAAGUGACCUCUCGAAUGCAGAUGCUUGAGCCAGGAGUUGGGGGAAGGGCGAAGAGGAAGGAAUAUUUUUAGUAAAGCUGGAGCUCAGAAAGGCGUUGAUUUUUAAAUAAUAGUGAGAGCGCCUUGAAAGAAGUUUUGGAAGAUGUAAGGCUAGAAGAGUCAUAAGAAAAGGCUGGGAAGUGGACAGCAGGCAUUGAGGAUUUAGCCUCGCUGGAAGAAAAGCCUUGAGAAGACCAAGGCUUGGCCCAGAGCUCAUGGGUGGAAUCCAGCCCAGCUCAGUCAUUAAGUUAGGAUCCUGGACCCCAGUUUCACCUGAGGGUAGGUAAGAUGGAGAUUUCCCCCUGGAGCUGAGCUAAGGAACAAAGCCGCAGAAGGUAAACAACUGAUUAAUGUGCUGAACAGAGGACGCUGAAGAAUUGAAGUUCCAGACCCUUGGACUUAAGCAUUUAAUUUCACACUAUUACUGUUAUUUUGCACUUACUGGAGUGUUCCUGAGGUUACUGUUGGAUGUUGUGGCUCCCCGACUAUUGGUGGCACAAGCUUCUUGGGAAUUCUGAGGAAUGCAGACCCACCACAGAUUCAGAGAUCCCAGGAAGAAUUUUUGGGGAAGAAUUCAAAAUUGGGUGUAUAUGGCCAAAAAGUUAACAGGGUUGAGAUCUAGACCCUGACUUGACAUUCUGGGCAAACACCCAGUAGGUCAGAGAAUUGGAUGGAGCUUCUGGGUGGGACUUCCAAGGAAGGUGCCAACUUGUAUGAUACUAUCAGAGUGGCAUGGAAGAAGUAAGACCAAGCUGCUUCCUACCCCAGCAGAAUACACGCUACUUUGUAGAUUACCAGGCCUUUGCCCAAGUUGAAUAGAAGCAGGGGUCACAGAGGCCACUGGUGGAAUGUACUGGAACAUUCCAGGCCCUUCUGCUGCAUAACAAUGCAACUCCUCGAGGCUUUGAGCCAUCAGGGUCUUCCAGGAAGAAUUGGAUACAAGGUCCUCACCCUCCACCAUGCAUAGCAAGAAAUCACCUGCUCUGAAAGGAGCAUUAUUCUAAGUGCUUCCAACUUACUAAGUGGGAGGAGUGUUAAUCCAGCCCUUUGGGACUUUUUCACUAAAUAGAGAGACUUGGCUGCCAAGGCCAUUUUGUUGAGCCAGAACCUUCUUGUGGAAUAGAUGUGCUGGGUACAGGAUAUCCACAGGAAAAGCCAGGAAUAGGCACCUGAUCAAUCAGGGCUGAAGAGUUGGAUGGGAUGUAACCAGGCUUCAUUUUUUUCAGUCAGAAACAGAUUUACAAUGAAGCUAAUGAAACUUAAGAGUCAGAUCCCCUCACUUACACAGAACCCUUCCAAGUCCUCCCUAAUUCUAUAAUUAUUUUACUAUUUAACUUAAAGAGGAACCCCCAAAUUAUAUAAGUAUUAGACCUCACAGAACCUGGAGCCUUCCCUACUUUUAGUCUGCAGGGCUUUUAUUUAUUUAUUUUUAUAGUGUUGCUUUAUUUAUUAUUUAUAUAUUUGGCUGCUCUGGGUCUUAGUUGUGGCACAUGGGAUCUUUUAGUUGUGG